AUAGCACCUCAAGUUGAAGUUUCGUAAGUUUGAAGGCAAAACUGCGGAGGAUUGGCUACAGGAUUAUGAGUAGCACUUAGUUAUUUUUGGGCUUGAGCCGCCAUAAGAAAGUAGCAAUUGUGUAAUGUACUUCGAAGGAGUGGCAUAAUCAUGGUAUCAAGUUUACACUUAUUAAUGGUCCGGAAUCUGAUUGGAUUAUGUUUUCAAAGCAGUUGGUAACAAGGUUUGGAAUGAUGGAGCGGGGUUUAGCUUUAUGAAAAUUUUAAUCAACUCAAGCAGAGUAUAGUGGAAGAGUACUUCAGUCUUUUAGAAAGAUGUAUGGAGUAGUUAAAAAUAAAGAUGCCCUCCCUCACUGAGGACUAUUUCAUAGAAAUUUUUCUAAGUGGGUUGCAUGGAAGUUCAACAAGCUAUGAAGUUACUGGAGCCUACUUCACCAAAUCAAGCUUUCAAUAAAAUCAGGAACCACAUUCCCACAGUGAAAAGUUCCAGGAAGUCAGAACUGCAGAGUCAUUCCAAGGAGGAGACCGCUGGCAAAGCAAAUCUGUUGACUCUCGAAACCAGAUACUUUGAAUAGACUUUAGAGGAGACGCUUAAAGAAGAGUAUGUUCAGGGUGAGAACGUUACAGCUGAGGUUUUAGCAGAUGUAAAUCAUGUGGAAGC
rnacentral:lncRNA from 1 species